rnacentral:rRNA from 1 species
GACGAACGCUGGCGGCGUGCUUAACACAUGCAAGUCGAACGGAAAGGCCCUGCUUUUGUGGGGUGCUCGAGUGGCGAACGGGUGAGUAACACGUGAGUAACCUGCCCUUGACUUUGGGAUAACUUCAGGCAACUGGGGCUAAUACCGGAUAGGAGCUCCUGCUGCAUGGUGGGGGUUGGACAGUUUCGGCGGUUGGGGAUGGACUCGCGGCUUAUUAGCUUGUUGGUUGGGUAGUGGCUUACCAAGGCUUUGACGGGUAGCCGGCCUGAGAGGGUGACCGGCGACAUGGGGACUGAGAUAGGGACCAGACUCCUACGGGAGGCAGCAGGGGGGAAUAUUGCACAAUGGGCGGAAGCCUGAGGCAGAAACGCCGCGUGCGGGAUGAAGGCCUUCGGGUGGUAAACCGCUUUCGCCUGUGACGAAGCGUGAGUGACGGUAAUGGGUAAAGAAGCACCGGCUAACUACGUG